UAGCUGCUGGCGUCUUUAUUGAUUGGUCAAGAAUCAAUUGGGGAACAGGACCUUCAGUGCUCACACACAGAUUCCUGACCAAAGCAUCAGAACCACCCCUACAGUCUCCUCGCAAUGUUUGAGACAACCCCUGCACUGCAGAUGGAGUCUCCAGGGCAAGUAAACUAAGAAGUUGUGAUGAGAAGAGUCUGCCUGUCCACAGUGAGGACCUGAGGAGCAGAGUAUAAAGCCCUGCAGCCUGUCCUUCAUUAUCUGCCACAGAGGGACUGGGAGGGUAAAACUUCCAGAGCAAAGAAAGGACCUGUGAGAUGGCUUUCCAGAUGGAACCUUCUGUGUAGUCCUGGAUGGCCCGCAGCUUGCUAUGUAAACCGGCUGACCUGGAAUUCACGGGUCUGCAAUUACCUCAGCCCCAUGAGUGUCGGGAUUAAAGACAGAGUCUCUCUCUGUGGAACCCUGGCUGUCCUAGAACUCUCUCUAUAGACAAGGCUGGCCUUGAACUCAAAGAUCCAUUUGCUUUUACCUCCCAAGUGUUGGUAAAUGGUGUGUGCCGUCAUCACCACCCAGCCAAAUAAAGCAUC
ensembl:lncRNA